rnacentral:rRNA from 1 species
UGGGGAAUUUUGGACAAUGGGCGCAAGCCUGAUCCAGCCAUGCCGCGUGUCUGAAGAAGGCCUUCGGGUUGUAAAGGACUUUUGUCAGGGAAGAAAAGGCUGUUGCUAAUAUCAGCGGCUGAUGACGGUACCUGAAGAAUAAGCACCGGCUAGCUACGUGCCAGCAGCCGCGGUAAUACGUAGGGUGCGAGCGUUAAUCGGAAUUACUGGGCGUAAAGCGAGCGCAGACGGUUACUUAAGCAGGAUGUGAAAUCCCCGGGCUCAACCUGGGAACUGCGUUCUGAACUGGGUGACUAGAGUGUGUCAGAGGGAGGUAGAAUUCCACGUGUAGCAGUGAAAUGCGUAGAGAUGUGGAGGAAUACCGAUGGCGAAGGCAGCCUCCUGGGAUAACACUGACGUUCAUGCUCGAAAGCGUGGGUAGCAAACAGGAUUAGAUACCCUGGUAGUCCACGCCCUAAACGAUGUCAAUUAGCUGUUGGGCAACUUGAUUGUUCAGUAGCGUAGCUAACGCGUGAAAUUGACCGCCUGGGGAGUACGGUCGCAAGAUUA